AGAGUUUGAUCAUGGCUCAGACGAACGCUGGCGGCAUGCCUAACACAUGCAAGUCGAACGAGACCUUCGGGUCUAGUGGCGCACGGGUGCGUAACGCGUGGGAAUCUGCCCUAGGGUGCGGAAUAACUCGGAGAAAUCCGUGCUAAUACCGCAUAAUGUCUUCGGACCAAAGAUUUAUCGCCCUGGGAUGAGCCCGCGUAGGAUUAGCUAGUUGGUGGGGUAAAGGCCUACCAAGGCGACGAUCCUUAGCUGGUCUGAGAGGAUGAUCAGCCACACUGGGACUGAGACACGGCCCAGACUCCUACGGGAGGCAGCAGUGGGAAUAUUGGACAAUGGGCGAAAGCCUGAUCCAGCAAUGCCGCGUGAGUGAUGAAGGCCCUAGGGUUGUAAAGCUCUUUUACCCGGGAUGAUAAUGACAGUACCGGGAGAAUAAGCUCCGGCUAACUCCGUG
rnacentral:rRNA from 1 species